rnacentral:rRNA from 1 species
AGUGAACGCUGGCGGCAGGCCUAACACAUGCAAGUCGAGCGGCAGCACGGCAAUAGCAAUAUUGUGGGUGGCGAGCGGCGGACGGGUGAGGAAUGCAUCGGGAUCUACCCUGUCGUGGGGGACAACGUAGGGAAACUUACGCUAAUACCGCAUGAUCUGGAGACAGCAAAGCCGGGGACCUUCGGGCCUGGCGCGAUGGGAUGAGCCGAUGUUCGAUUAGCUAGUUGGCGGGGUAAAGGCCCACCAAGGCGACGAUCGAUAGCUGGUCUGAGAGGAUGAUCAGCCACACUGGAACUGAGACACGGUCCAGACUCCUACGGGAGGCAGCAGUAGGGAAUAUUGGACAAUGGGGGCAACCCUGAUCCAGCCAUGCCGCGUGAGUGAAGAAGGCCCUCGGGUUGUAAAGCUCUUUUGUCCGGAAAGAAAAGCAAUCGGUUAAUACCCGGUUGUUCUGACGGUACCGGAAGAAUAAGCACCGGCUAACUUCGUGCC